GGAGGAGAAGAGGAGGAGGAGGAUGAGCACCGGGGUGCUGAGCCCUGGGGGGCACAAAGCCUCCAGCAGCCCCCAGCAGACCUCAUCCAGACCUCGGACGUCCUUCCUCAUCCAGGACAUCCUAUGGGAUGGGGUGGAGAGGGGAACACGGAUGGAGCAAGGUGGAAUACCAGAGGAUGGGGAGCAGCAGGACGGCCCUGGAGUAUCCCCAGCACAGCCCCACGAUGCAAAUCCAGAUGCUGAGACCCCCCCAUG
rnacentral:lncRNA from 1 species